AGCAACGUGGCUUUGGGUAUUUCUUCGUGUAUGUCAUAGGUAAGUGUAUAAUUACCAAUAUUUAUCGAUAUUUCUAGCAUCUGUUUAGUAUUUCCAAGAAUACCAACAACAACAACGUGCUCUACCCUGUGAUGUUGGUGCAUAAAUCUGUGCACUUUAUUCAAAAGGGCGAUAUUGAUCUCGACGCGAAGAUGAGAAAUCGACGAUCGAAUUUCUCACACAUUAAUUCAAUUCUCUAUUUCUUAUAGUACUCAUUUUUGACCCGCAUUAUCUUUAGUCAUGUUAAAUAUCACUCGCUUUAGCAAUUUAACAAUAUCCCACAAUGAAUUAGUUCUGUUCUGGAACUUUAUUUAAUAAAAAUAAGGCUGUGCCUUUCUUUGAACAUCAUUCAUGUAUGCGCCCUUGUUGAAUUCGCCUGCUGUCAAAACAUGAAGUAAUUUCGCCCAAAAAUCUAGUCCAAUUGGAAAAUUAGCUGUCAAAUAAGCCUGUUUGUUUUGAUGUUUUGUUCUCUGCAGUUGUAAUUGCGCCCUUCUGCACUAGAUUGUUUUUUCAAUAAUUAUAAGCUAAAAAGUACUUUCCAAGUGAUAUUAUUACAUCAAGGCCUACAUUAUAGUCGCAGAUGGGUGAAUAGGAUUGCUCCGAAACGUUUGCCGCCUACAAUUUGGAGGGGUUCGAGGAACCCACUGAAGGCCAAGAUUUCCGUAAUCC